UACGUAGGGUGCAAGCGUUGUCCGGAAUUAUUGGGCGUAAAGAGCUCGUAGGCGGUUUGUCGCGUCGGCUGUGAAAACCUGGGGCUCAACCCCGGGCCUGCAGCCGAUACGGGCAAGCGUAGAGUUCGGUGAGGGGAGACUGGAAUUCCUGGUGUAGCGGUGAAAUGCGCAGAUAUCAGGAGGAACACCGGUGGCGAAGGCGGUUCUCUGGGUAUUACCUGACGCUGAGGAGCGAAAGCGUGGGGAGCAAACAGG
rnacentral:rRNA from 1 species